rnacentral:rRNA from 1 species
UACGUAGGGGGCUAGCGUUGUCCGGAUUUAUUGGGCGUAAAGAGCGUGUAGGCGGCCAGGUAGGUCUGCUGUGAAAACUCGAGGCUCAACCUCGAGACGUCGGCGGAAACCAUCUGGCUAGAGUCCGGAAGAGGAGAGUGGAAUUCCUGGUGUAGCGGUGAAAUGCGCAGAUAUCAGGAAGAACACCCGUGGCUAAGGCGGCUCUCUAGUACGUGACUGACGCUGAGACGCGAAAGCGUGGGGAGCGAACAGG